rnacentral:rRNA from 1 species
AGAGUUUGAUCAUGGCUCAGGAUAAACGCUGGCGGCGUGCAUGAGACAUGCAAGUCGAACGGGUGACUCGGGCUUGCUCGAGUUGCUAGUGGCGGACGGCUGAGUAACGCGUAGGUGACCUGCCCCGAAGUGGGGAAUAACUGCCCGAAAGGGUGGCUAAUACCGCAUGUGGUCACACGUUCAAUCGUGUGAGUAAAGCCGCAAGGCGCUUCGGGAGGGGCCUGCGUCCGAUUAGCUCGUUGGUGGGGUAACGGCUCACCAAGGCGACGAUCGGUAGGUGGUCUGAGAGGACGAUCACCCAGACUGGGACUGAGACACGGCCCAGACUCCUACGGGAGGCAGCAGUCGGGAAUUUUGCUCAAUGGGCGCAAGCCUGAAGCAGCAACGCCGCGUGAGGGAUGAAGGCCUUCGGGUUGUAAACCUCUUUUUUCAGGGACGAUAAUGACGGUACCUGGAGAAUAAGCCACGGCUAACUACGUGCCAGCAGCCGCGGUAAUACGUAGGUGGCGAGCGUUGUCCGGAUUUACUGGGCGUAAAGAGCGCGCAGGCGGUCGGAUCAGUCGAAUGUGAAAGCCCCCGGCUUAACUGGGGAGGGUCAUUCGAUACUGUUCGACUCGAAGGCAGGAGAGGGAAGUGGAAUUCCCGGUGUAGUGGUGAAAUGCGUAGAUAUCGGGAGGAACACCAGUGGCGAAGGCGACUUUCUGGCCUGUUCUUGACGCUGAGGCGCGAAAGCUAGGGGAGCAAACAGGAUUAGAUACCCUAGUAGUCC